GACGAACGCUGGCGGCGUGCCUAAUACAUGCAAGUCGAGCGAAGUUUUUCUGGUGCUUGCACCGGAAAAACUUAGCGGCGAACGGGUGAGUAACACGUAAAGAACCUGCCUCAUAGACUGGGACAACUAUUGGAAACGAUAGCUAAUACCGGAUGAUAUCAUUAACUGCAUGGUGGAUGUUUAAAAGUUGGUUUUGCUAACACUAUGAGAUGGCUUUGCGGUGCAUUAGCUAGUUGGUGGGGUAAAGGCCUACCAAGGCGACGAUGCAUAGCCGACCUGAGAGGGUGAUCGGCCACACUGGGACUGAGACACGGCCAAGACUCCUACGGGAGGCAGCAGUAGGGAAUCUUCCGCAAUGGGCGAAAGCCUGACGGAGCAACGCCGCGUGAGUGAAGAAGGAUUUCGGUUCGUAAAGCUCUGUUGUUAGGGAAGAAUGAUUGUGUAGUAACUAUACACAGUAGAGACGGUACCUAACCAGAAAGCCACGGCUAACUACGUG
rnacentral:rRNA from 1 species